rnacentral:rRNA from 1 species
UACGAAGGGGGCUAGCGUUGUUCGGAAUCACUGGGCGUAAAGGGCGCGUAGGCGGCUUUGUAAGUCGGGGGUGAAAGCCUGUGGCUCAACCACAGAAUUGCCUUCGAUACUGCAUGGCUUGAGACCGGAAGAGGUAAGUGGAACUGCGAGUGUAGAGGUGAAAUUCGUAGAUAUUCGCAAGAACACCAGCGGCGAAGGCGGCACUCUGGGCUGGUACUAACGCUGAGGAGCGAAAGCGUGGGUAGCGAACAGG